rnacentral:lncRNA from 1 species
AAGAGGGAAUCAAGUUAGGCAAAAUCAUAAGUUAUUCUAGAUUGAAAGAUACUAUGAAAGAUAUUCAAAACAUCCUAGUAAGUUUGGGUGGAAGAAAGAGAAAUAGAAGAGAUGAUCUGAUGGGCCUUCCUGCUAAACACCUCCAACCUCGACAUCGCCCCUGUGGAUAUCCUUGUGCACCAGAUAGCCCUCCCCAAUGUUACUUCUCUCCACAGAACUCCCAAAGUCGUACAUCACUUUCCCAGUACCCAGCUCCACAAAAUGCCUAUCCACCCCCACGAGCCUACCGAAACCCCUCUAGAUCAGGUUUUCAGCCCAAUCAAGCAUUUAAGAACGAGAGGUUGCGGAAGAAGAAAACCUUCACUCUAUUGGGAUAAUCAUAUGCCAGUCUGUUCCAGAGGCUAAGGUAAGUGGACAUGUUGAAGCCGAUUGAGAUAAAAAUGCCAAACUCUCUUCCAAAGAAGUUUGAUUUUUCUCAAUGGUGUGAAUAUUGCUCAGAUGCCCCGGGGCAUAACAUAGAGAAGUGUUGGAAUCUGAAAAAAGCAAUUCAGAAGCUUAUUGAUGCAGGUGACAUUGUCAUGCAAAAUACAGAUGCAACAGACACUAGCCAAAGUCCAUCACUUAUUCAUAGUGAGACACAUAUGGUGUGUAUGAUUUAUUUUGAAAAGAAAUAUGAGGACUCUACUGAGAUCCUCGGAGGUCCACGUGCUUCGAAGCUUUCAGCAAUAUCAGAGGUUGAUCUUAAGAACGAGCAGGAAAGGGAACCCAAAAGCAAUUUGUUAAGAACAAUUUGGUGGAGACUUGUGAAGGUCCCAGUAUUGUUGAUGCAGAAGUCAGUGGCUAAGAUGUUGAGUUUGGUGAUUGGAAAGACGUUCCUUUCUUGGUUAGCCAAGGAGGAGUUUUUGGUGGUUUAUUUUGUUGUCAUUUCUGUUGUCCGGAUUAUUCAAUGGUUGUAACCCGGAUAUUGUCUUGUGACUCAAACCCUUCUAUCCUUUUGUUUUGCCUAGUUCCUUUAUUCGUAGCAAUUCAUUUAGUGUUACCUAGUUUUGUUCCAGGAUUGUACCCUAUUUUGUUUUACUUGUUUGUUAUUCGAACCGUUUCACCGUCUGUCUAAUGCAAUUUCUUGUCUUUUUUUAUUUCCAGUCAUUUUCUUUGUUUAGUUCUUUUCUAUCCUUUCAUUUUGUCUUUUGUCUAAUGUUGGUUCUAGUGACAUUACAUGCAUGCAAAAUUCUAGGCAUGGUCUUAAAAGUCAGUCUAGUCAUGAAGCAAUGGAACAAUUUUGAAGAUAAUGGGGACAUUUGAGGGAAAUAACUAAAGGCAUUUUGAGAUCACUUCAAGCCCGAAUUGUGUGAAACUGGGGAAGAUAGAACAUAAAGAAACCCUAUUGAAAUGCAUCAUGCCGCAUCGGGUUGAAGCUAAAGGCAAGUUUGCCCGAACUGACAGGGGUCGUUCGUGGUAAUGAGAGUGAGGGUGUUGUCCAAUGGUGGUUUGUAGUUAACAGAUGUAGAAGGCGAACAUGUGGAUAUGGUUAUCAAGUUUGGUACAAUCAAAAGAUGUUAUAAAUGUUUUCAUUGGUUUGUUUAAUUGUGUUGUUUGUACUUGGCAUGUUUUGGAGAUUGGAAUGACGAAGGCAUUUUGUCCUGCUAUCUAAAUACUUUAUCCUUCGUUACCCCUUAGAGCCUUAUUUAUUUUCUUUCAUAACCCUUUUUCGGAAUCAGUAGCAAAUAUCAGAAAUACAAGCGUAAAAGAUAAGUAAAAAAAGAAGAAAAAGAGAAGAAAAAGAAAAAGAAAAAAACAAAACAACAAAACAACAAAAAGAGAAAAAGAAGAAAGAAAAGAAAAGAAGAGAAAGAGGAAGAAAAGGGAAAGAAACUCACAACAACAAAGUAAUUCCUAUGACAUGAACUACGUUCGACCUGAUUCCUUUAAAGGAUACAUAGGCAGUCUCACGGUUCGGUCCCAUCAAAAUAAAAUCCAAAGUCCCCAAGUAAAGAAACUGGGCAGAAGUUGUGGUUGUUCCGAAAGUUAUAAUCUUGAACCCAUUCGAAUUGAUUUGAGCCUUUUGAUACCCUUUAUUUAUAACCCCAUCCAAAAGCCCACACUACGGUCCAGAGAAAGACCUUCCGAUCAGUCUUCGAGAGAUGCCAAGGUGAGCAAGUGGAGGUGAAUCAUAUCAGGGGCAACACUCCGGUCUAAACAAGAAAAAUAAAAAUGAGAUAGUCUUAUUGGUGAAAACCCUUACGAGCACCAUAAGACGAUGAAAGUUGAGAGAAAUAAAAAAAUGAGAGAGUCUUAUUGGUGAAAACCAUCACAGGCACCUUAAGGCGACUGUAAGUUGAGAGAAAGAAUAAAAUGAGAGAGACUUGAUGGUGAAAACCCUUCGGACACUACAAGUCGAUUAGGGAUUGUGAAUCAGAUUGGAUAAUCGGAGAAUUGAAGCCCAGUUUCAUGGUUUAGGGGUAUAACAGGAGUUGAACAUCAAGCUUGCUUAACAGAAUAGGCCACAGGUGCAUGUCAUGGUCGUUAGAGUUGGUAUCCACAUCUGAUAGGUUUCUACUUUGUAGCUUUCUUGUUAGGAAUCAUCCCUUAUUUUUGUCAUUUACUCUGUUCCUUUUGUCUUGUUUACCUCCUCUUCCCGAGUCUGUUUGGUCAUAACAAGUGAGAAAUGAUUUCAAAAUUUGCCACCAGUUUUCCAAUUGCACAAAAUGGGAUCUGGCUAGCACAUCAUAGUGUCAAAAGUCAGGAAAGAACAACAAGCGCACUGAGCUGGUAACAAUCAAUAUGCUUUGGGACCCUUGUGAAAUACAAAGGUUUGGUACAUAUCAAUUCAGGAACAAUGCAACAGAUGGAGGGUGUUAGGUGAACAAAUCAAAGGUAUUUUCGGUGAAACACGAAGGUUUGGUACAUAUCAAUUCAGGAACAAUGUAACAGAUGGAGGGUGUUAGAUGAAUGGAUCAAAUGUAUUUUUGGUGAAACAUGAAGGUCUGGUACAUAUCAAUUCAUGAACAAUGCAACAAGAUGGAGGGUGUUUGGUGAACGAAUCAAAAGUAUUUUCUGUGGUGAGAUUGACAAAAGGUGUUAAAUAGUAACAAGCGAGGUCUUCCGAGCAGAAAUCAAAGUUAUCAUCGCAAGUGAAGGAGCAACAGACCUAAAGGCUAGGGCCAGUGGUUUAAGUCAAGAAAUAACAACAUGUGCGAUGAGUGGGUGGCAAUUGUCGUGCUUUGAGAUUCAUGUGAAACACAAGGGUUUGGUAAAUGUCGGUUUAUGAGCAAUGCAACAGAUAGAGGGUAUUGGGUCUUAACGGAGAAGAGGUAUUUUCUGUGAUAAGGAUGACAGAAAAAGUGGUUAGCCAAUAAACAAACAAGUUCUUCGAGUGGAAAUCAAAGUGAUCAUGGGAAGUGAAGGAGAUUCUCCCUCAAAGUCAAGGCCACAAACCAACCACUACAUUUUUAAACUGACAAGAUUUUUCUUUGAUUUGAAACAGGGGCAGAAAAUUUCAUUUGUCUCGGAGAAACCCUCCGUAAAGAAAAGCAAGCACCAAACAGGUUUGACCGUAAAUUUUUAGGACCCUCCUAGAAAAUAGGACCUAGUUUAAAAUUCAAAACAAUUAUGAGUAGCAAGAUCUAGCAUAAGUGCGCCCCAAAGGAACAUAAGUAGGCUUCAAAGUUUGCAUGUUUGAGAUAGGAUUCAAUUAGGAGUUUUCAGGACCCUCCUGAAUAACGGGACCUAGCUUUAGGAUUUCUAUUGGAUAACAAGGUUUAGAGUAAGUUCUGUUGUAGGGUAAUAUAAUUUAGCCGUAAAAUUGUCACUUUUAAGAUAAUACUUGAUUUUUGUUUUUCAGGUCCCUUUUGGAUAAUGGGACUUGGCUUUAAGACUUCCAUUAGAUAACAAGAUUUGGCGUAAGCUCUGUUGUAGGGUAGUGUAAUUCAGCCGUAAAAAUUGUCACUUUUAAAAUAAUACUUGAUUUUUGAUUUUAAGGACCCUCCUAGAUAAUGGGGUGUAGUUUAAGACCCUCUUAGAUAACAAGAUUUACCGGAAGUUACACCUUUAAAAGAUAUAACUUUGAUUUAAAAUUGUCGUUUAGUUAAGAAUUUUCAGGACCCUCCGGAAUAAUGGGACCUAGAUUUAAGAUUUCCAUUAGAUAACAAGAUUUAGCGGAAGUAAUACCUUUAGAAGAUAUAAUUUAUAUUUAAAAACUGUCAUUUAACUAGGAGUUGUCAGGACCUUCCUGGAUAAUGGAAUCUAGCUUUCAAAUUCUUAGUAAUAUUUGGUAACAUGAUUCAGUUUAACACCCAAAGAUGUGCCCAGCUACCAAACUGGGGCAGAAAAUUUUCUUUGUUUUGUCUAUUUUGUUGAAAUCAGGCGCACACCUGGAGAGCACGGGAAUACAUUCAAGUUUUGGCAAUCAGGCGCCCACCUGGAGAGCACAGGAAUACAGUUCAAGUUUGGUAAUCAGGCGUCCACCUGGACAGAACGGGAAUACAAUUAAAGUUCUGGCAAUCAGGCGCCCACCUGGAGAGCAUGGGAAUACAGUUCAAGUUUUGGCAAUCAGGCGCCCACCUGGAGAGCACGGGAAUAUAGUUCAAGUUUUGGUAGUCAGGCGCCCACCUGGAGAGGACGGGAAUACAAUUCAAGUUUUGGCAAUCAGGCACCCUCCUGGAAAGCACGGGAAUACAGUUAAAGUUUUGGCAAUCAGGCACUCACCUGGAGAGCACGGGAAUAUAGUUCCAGUUUUGGGUAACCGGCGACCACUUGGAAAACAAGGGAGAGCAACACCAGUUUUAAGGAAGGGAAAUAGUUUAAGUGUUGGUAAUCAGGCGUCCACCUAGAGAAAAGGAAAGCAUCUCAGAUUAUAAUUCGAGUUCAGCAAUCAGGCGUCCAGCUAAAGAAAAGGGAAAGUGUCCCAGAUCACAACUUAAGUUGGCAACAAAGGGAUUUCACCAGGAGAAUACAAGUCAACAAGGCAACAAGAAUCACAAGAUCAAGUUUGAAGAUACAGAUAGGAUUUUUGUAAUGCAUAGAUCAUAGUUUAGUCUAGCUUCUUUUUCUUUUGUCAUGGUGUAAUAAGGAGUUCAGUAAGCAGUAGCAGCAACAACAGCAGCGGUGAAAUCACAGCUUCAUGGUAGUUCCAGCUACCAAAACUUCCCGAACUACACUAACUUGAUUCCUUUAUAGCCAAGGAUAUGUAGGCAACCUCGGAAGCACGGUGUGCUCAAAUCUUUCAAAAAUGCUUCCCACGGAGUAUUCAAAUGGGCAAAAAUCGCUCGUAUCUGCUCACUUUUUCUUUGCACGAAAACUCUUCGUCUUUUCGAGCAAGGAGGGCAGCUGUGAGCAUGUGAUUUUUGCCCAACAUGAAAUACUCCUAUAAAAUCAAAGAAAAUAAAGUUUUUCUUAAUUAUUCGCCAUUUUUAGGAAUUUUUGCAGAUUUUUAUUAAUUGUUUGCAUUUUUCCUGCACGUUUAAUUUUUAUUUUUAUCAUGAGAAAAUACCAAAAUAUCAUGCAUUGCAUUUAGGAUUUGUUUUUAUGUUUUUAUAAUUAACCAAUAAUAUUGUUUUAUAAAAAUUAAAAAUCACAAAAAUUGCUUCAUUUUUACACUUUUUACUUUUAUUGAUUUUUUCUCUUUUAAUUUAGGAUUAAGUAGCUUUUAUAAUUUUUAUAAUUAGCUAAUUAGUUUAAUUUCACACUUUUAAAUAAUUUAAGAUUUUUAAUUUUUAGGAUUUUAAUUAAAAGAAAAGGGAAAAAUUAGAAAAUAAAAGAAAGGAAAUUGGAAAAAGAGUUUAAUUUGAAUUUGGGCCAAAUCCUAUACCCAAAUCUGCCCAAUACCAGCCCAUUUCACUACCUGGCCCAAUUGUAGUUUUUCUUUCCCUUUUAUUUAAAUACCUAAGACCUAAUAACCUAGAGAGAGGGAAUAAGAUCAGAAGACCUCACCUCUCAUAUAUAAGAAGAGCACAACUUUCCUUUUUUCCCCUUCUUCUGACUCCUUCUUCAUCUCCGGCGCACCUGCUUCUCCAAUCCAUCUUCUCUUCACGCUUCCUCAAUCUCUGAUAACCCACACCUUCUGAAAUUAAUCAAAAAGAAAGGAAAAGUUCUAAAUCAAAAUUUUGGGUCUACGAUACUAAGAAUGUAACAAAAGAGAGGAUAAAAGGGGUUUCAUCUCUGCUUGAAGUUUGCUAUCUUCUUCUUUCAUAUUUCUGGGUUUCAAUAAUGUUUGCUUGAAGUUUUGCUGUUGUUCGCUGCUGAGACUGCUAACCUCCGCUUCUCUGGCCCUUUAUUUGGUUUUCUUUUAGCUGUUUUCCGCAACCAGUUAUUGAAUCAUGAAUUCAAGUCUCCGAUUUGUCAAAUUUUGGGUUCUGUUAGUUUGUAAAUAAGCGUGAUUUAUUAUUUUAACGUCUGUUUGAAUUGCUCCAUGACUUUGUUUGCUUAGCUUGAAUACGUGUUUGUUGCUGCGAUCAUAUUUAGUAGAUUUUGUCCCUAUAAUGAUGAAUUGAAUACGUGUUUAGCCUACAAUACAACAAAUGUUUAGUGAUUUGAUUUUCUAUUAUUAGUAGUGCAGAUAUUAAAAUUUAAAUUAGAUAUUGCUUACUGCUAAAUCUGCUCAUUCUUCCUAGUUAUAAAAUAACUCGUCAUUCAAUUCGUUUUUUUCUGAAGCAUUUGAUCAAUUUUUAAAAUUAGUAUUUCCUCACCAACUAUUUCUCAUAUCCAAUUGGAUUACUAACUAACCUAUGAGUUAUUAGAAACCAAUUUUUAAUUUCACCAAAAAGAAUGGUUAAAGUGCUCACUAAUGAAGUGGAAAGGAUAUGGUAGGCAAAAAUGAUAAAGAUAUCACUGUUUAUGGAGUGUGUCAAAUUUAAGAAAUAGGAUCUUACUUCAUUUCAGAUUGGUUUGAUCACAUAUUGAUGUUUCGAGUGAUAUGUUGGUGUAAAGACAUUUUGAAAUCAUGUUGAGGCCUUACAUUAGGCUCAUGGACGCUUUGCACCAGACUUAUGUUUUAGUAUUUGAUUGAUUUUUCUUAAGGCAUUAACAAGCAUUUCAUUUUCCAUUAAUUUAUG